UCGAGAAUUUUUCUCAAUGGACGAAAGUCUGAAGGAGCGACGCCGCGUGGGGGAUGAAUGGCUUCGGCCCGUAAACCCCUGUCAUUUGCGAACAAACCUUACGUUUUAAUAGAGCGUGAGCUGAUUGUAGCGAAAGAGGAAGGGACGGCUAACUCUGUGCCAGCAGCCGCGGUAAUACAGAGGUCCCAAGCGUUGUUCGGAUUCACUGGGCGUAAAGGGUGCGUAGGUGGUCGGGUAAGUCUGAUGUGAAAGCUCUGGGCUCAACCCAGAAAUGGCAUUGGAUACUAUCUGGCUUGAGGAAUGGAGGGGGGACUGGAAUACUUGGUGUAGCAGUGAAAUGCGUAGAUAUCAAGUGGAACACCAGUGGCGAAGGCGAGUCCCUGGACAUUUCCUGACACUGAGGCACGAAAGCUAGGGGAGCAAACAG
rnacentral:rRNA from 1 species